GAGUGCUGCAGCCGCUGCCGCCGAUUCCGGAUCUCAUUGCCACGCGCACCCGACGACCGCCCGACGUGCAUUCCCGAUUCCUUUUGGUUCCAAGUCCAAUAUGGCAACUCUCAAGGAUCAGCUGAUUCAUAAUCUUCUAAAGGAAGAACAGACCCCCCAGAAUAAGAUUACAGUUGUUGGGGUUGGUGCUGUUGGCAUGGCCUGUGCCAUCAGUAUCUUAAUGAAGGUAAGUGAGAGUCUACCACACUGGAAGCCCAUACCUUGACCGCAUCCUCUACCCCCACUCCUACCCCUAGAAUUGUAUUAUUACAUUUCAUAUAACAAUAUUUAGAUUUAUGCACUCAUUCAGAUAACUUUCUGUGAAACAAGCUUUUGAAAUAUGAUGAUACACCAAAAGUGUAUCUGAAAUUAAAAAGAAUCAAAGGUUAUCAGGCUGGAGACCAAGUUCCUAAAAUUCAUUAUUCUGUAUUAACAUGCAUGGAUUGACUACCAAUGAAAAGGAAGGGUCCGUGACUUUAAAUGAGCCAAAAUUCUUUUAAAGGAUUUUUGAAUUGAAAAUGACACAUACAUAUGGUAUAAUUAUAUGGGAAAUCUUAAGUUCUCCCACCCAAACCUCAUUGCCCCAGUGCCUUGGAUAGCAAUU
rnacentral:sRNA from 1 species